GACGAACGCUGGCGGCGUGCUUAACACAUGCAAGUCGAACGAAGUGGCGAACGGGUGAGUAAUACGUGGGUAACCUGCCCUCCUUUUUGGGAUAAGCCUUGGAAACGGGGUCUAAUACCGACUAAAGGGGGAUGGGCUCGCGGCUUAUCGGCUGGUUGGUGGGUUAAGGGGCUACCAAGGCGGUGCCGGGUCGACGGCCUGAGAGGGUGAACGACGACAUUGGGACGGAGAAACGGCCCAGAGUAGUACGGGGGGCGGCAGUGGGGGAUAUGGCACAAUGGCCGAAAGACUGAUGCAGCGAGGACGCGUGGGGGAUGAAGGCUUUCGGGUUGUAAACCUCUUGCGCUAUAGAACGGGUAGGUGGAGAAGAAGCGCCGGCUAACUACGUGCCAGCAGCCGCGGUAAUAC
rnacentral:rRNA from 1 species